rnacentral:rRNA from 1 species
GACGAACGCUGGCGGCGUGCCUAAUACAUGCAAGUCGAGCGGACGGAUGGGAGCUUGCUCCCAGACCGUCAGCGGCGGACGGGUGAGUAACACGUGGGCAACCUGCCUGUAAGACUGGGAUAACUCCGGGAAACCGGGGCUAAUACCGGAUAACUCUUUCCCUCACAUGAGGGAAAGCUGAAAGAUGGCAUCUCGCUAUCACUUACAGAUGGGCCCGCGGCGCAUUAGCUAGUUGGUGAGGUAACGGCUCACCAAGGCGACGAUGCGUAGCCGACCUGAGAGGGUGAUCGGCCACACUGGGACUGAGACACGGCCCAGACUCCUACGGGAGGCAGCAGUAGGGAAUCUUCCGCGAUGGACGAAAGUCUGACGGAGCAACGCCGCGUGAGUGAUGAAGGUUUUCGGAUCGUAAAACUCUGUUGUCAGGGAAGAACAAGUACCGGAGUAACUGCCGGUACCUUGACGGUACCUGACCAGAAAGCCACGGCUAACUACGUG